rnacentral:rRNA from 1 species
UACGAGGGGUGCAAGCGUUACUCGGAAUUACUGGGCGUAAAGCGUGCGUAGGUGGUUCGUUAAGUCUGAUGUGAAAGCCCCGGGCUCAACCUGGGAACUGCAUUGGAUACUGGCGAUCUGGAGUGCGGUAGAGGGUGGCGGAAUUCCCGGUGUAGCAGUGAAAUGCGUAGAUAUCGGGAGGAACAUCCGUGGCGAAGGCGGCCACCUGGACCAGCACUGACACUGAGGCACGAAAGCGUGGGGAGCAAACAGGG